rnacentral:rRNA from 1 species
CUUGCUUCUCUUGAGAGCGGCGGACGGGUGAGUAAUGCCUAGGAAUCUGCCUGGUAGUGGGGGAUAACGUCCGGAAACGGACGCUAAUACCGCAUACGUCCUACGGGAGAAAGCAGGGGACCUUCGGGCCUUGCGCUAUCAGAUGAGCCUAGGUCGGAUUAGCUAGUUAGUGGGGUAAUGGCUCACCAAGGCGACGAUCCGUAACUGGUCUGAGAGGAUGAUCAGUCACACUGGAACUGAGACACGGUCCAGACUCCUACGGGAGGCAGCAGUGGGGAAUAUUGGACAAUGGGCGAAAGCCUGAUCCAGCCAUGCCGCGUGUGUGAAGAAGGUCUUCGGAUUGUAAAGCACUUUAAGUUGGGAGGAAGGGCAGUAAAUUAAUACUUUGCUGUUUUGACGUUACCGACAGAAUAAGCACCGGCUAACUCUGUGCCAGCAGCCGCGGUAAUACAGAGGGUGCAAGCGUUAAUCGGAAUUACUGGGCGUAAAGCGCGCGUAGGUGGUUCGUUAAGUUGGAUGUGAAAUCCCCGGGCUCAACCUGGGAACUGCAUUCAAAACUGACGAGCUAGAGUAUGGUAGAGGGUGGUGGAAUUUCCUGUGUAGCGGUGAAAUGCGUAGAUAUAGGAAGGAACACCAGUGGCGAA